rnacentral:rRNA from 1 species
AUGGGCUUUGUCGAUCGCGGAAGACGUGCCACCACCUAUGCAAAUACCACAACUGUCACGAGAGCUGAACAGGAAAUAAAACGACGUGUUGACCACAAGAAGAACAAUCGCAAGGUGCACAUUCCAAGAGUUGAUACAGUUGCCCCUUCAACUACUAGGCAUACUACGACAACCACAUUCGUUGUAGUGAGGACUGGAUCACCUCCACCAUGUGACACAUCACCAUCGAGAGUGCCUACAUCAUCUGAGUUGAUCAUAAGAGGUAAUGACAAAGAAGGGGAGGAUGAUAAGGACAUGGCUACCAAAGUUACACCCAUAUCCCCUGCUGUUUUACCUCUUGGAACAAUUGCUAGAGCUCGCAUACGCCGAUUAAAUUAUCAGGGCCUAGCACGGACAAGAAGGAUGAACAUUGAAGCAUGGUCAAGCACAGAGAUGAAGGUGCGUGCGAAGAGAACAAGAACAGAGGUUCAAGUGGAGACUUUUGGACUUUGA